GCGCGUCCCGCUCUCGGGGGCAGCCGCCGGGCCUGCAUUUCUUGCAGCCCUCAAGGCCCCUCGGUGUCAGCGAAAGAGCCCUCAUGUUGUACCUCGGCGCCCCGCGGGAAUGCCCACCCAGCAGAGCCGGCCCACGGGGAGUCAGGCUGCCGGCCCGGGCCCCUAGGCUCCGCCCGCUUCUGGUCAGCGCCCCUCGCCCCCGGCCCGCCUGGCCGCGUCCCAGUCGCCAGGGUUUUCGGCCCGUGGGCCGGGAGAGCUCCCGCCGCGGCCCCGCGGGCGCCGGCCCCCUGGCCUCCACACCCCUAGCAGCAUUCCUGCCUGCUGAGUUUCCUGGAUUUGCUGAGCUAAACAAGUUCAUUCGCACCCAGUUCCACCUGGGAUGAAGAUCCAUCUACAGGGCUGGAACUGACAGGGAAAACUUUUCAUCCCAUCUGAGGUCACCUUCACUUACAGGAUGCUGGCUGCUGAUAAGUAUCCUAUCAGGAGAAGAAGAGAAAAAUAAUUUGACACUUAUAGCCUGUCUUGAAAGAUGAGAUUCACUUAUCAGCAAACCAGAUGAAGAGAAUCACUGAGCACAGAAAUGAGAUCUGAGCACACUAGAGCUCAACUAAUGUAUCCCUGCCCACACAGGGUUAGUCUC
rnacentral:lncRNA from 1 species